rnacentral:lncRNA from 1 species
UCUUUAAUGUUAUGUUGAAAAUAUGAAUGACAAACUAACCCUAACCCUCUUCUUUGUUUAAUGUAUUCAUCUUUCUAAAGCACGGACCUUCAAUUUUAGAUAGCAUCACCUAGAGAUCAAAAGAAAGCUGUAUUCAAAACCACUUCGUACAAAUACUUGGGCUGUGGUUGUAUUGUACAGGUAGAGCACAGUCUUUCAGUUGUGAAUAACCGCACUUCAGUGUUCUAAUAUGUUUGUGUUCUUCCUGUCAUUUCUAAUGGGUGAACUGUGUAUGUGUGAAGUACAGAGUGAGUCUUUGCUGUUUUUCUGUAACUGUAGGAAUUCUGUAAAUGUAGCGCGUUGAGUGAACCUCACCCUCUUCUAAAUACUCCUACCUUGAAAUCAGUCCGUUUUGCCUUGUACAACUCCCUCUUCCUUAUUUCGAGAGAAAAAUUAAUCUGAUGCCUAUAUUUCUUGUAGGUUUCUCACACCUGAAAUUAUGUUUAAAAGGCCAAAUGAAGCUGAAUUUACAACCAACUCUUUUGCAGACGCAAAGCAGUAACAGUGAAUAUACUUAGGUGAAACCAUACUUUGGAGUCUUUAAUCUCAUUCAUGAAAGAGACAUAAGGAGCAAGGAAGUGGGGGAUGCUGGAAUUCAUUCUGUCUGAAAGAAGAUCCAUAGCUGUGUUAUAAGUAAAAAUCUGUGUGUAUUUUCUUUAUCUGGAAACUCAUUAAUUUUGCUUAAUCCAUAGAUAUUGCAAUAAUUUAUUCGUCCAUAGCUUUCUGGUUUCUUAAACGCUUUUAGAUGUGUGAUAAAAAGCAUUCUGGAGUUGUAACAUGUAACCCAAGUUUUUUCAGGUAGAAGACUUGCAUUUCUGUUGCAUUUGCUGAAUUGCUAAUGAGCAGCUUGUUUUUGUUACUGGCUUGGUUCAGGGUGGAAUAAGUGACUGUGUAAUCUGGUUUCAAGAAUGAGGCUUGUACUUCCAUCAGAUAACUCAUGAAGAAUAUAUAAGACCAAAAUAAUUAAAAUGUCUAUUCCUGUGACCUAAAAAUCACUGCACCUUUGGGUAAGGUUAACUCAUCACUAUCUUACAUGUAUACUUGCAGUAGGUCAAAGCAUGUUUGAAUGCUGUUUCUGUAAGUUAAAU